rnacentral:lncRNA from 1 species
ACGUGAGACUUAACCAGUCCCUGCUCUAUUGGGACCGAUGAACCUCGCCCGGGAGUGGAAUUCCAAUAAAAGCUUGUAAAUUAAUUGAUUCAUCUGGCUGGGAAGAUUUGUUGCACCAGACACCUUGCACCCGUGGUACUGGGGUUUUUAAGCACAAUUUUGAAAAAAACAAAAAACAAAAAAAAAACAAAAACAAAAAAACCAAAAAACUUGACAAAUCAGCAUUCAGUUACAAGGUGGGGACAAAACCCACAAAAGACCUGAUUUGCAAUCUUUUAUUCUAUCUGGCUUGCUCCUGAUAAAACAAAAGAGCUAUCACAAAGGAGGGAUACCUAAUUUGUUUUACAGUAAACUGGGAGCUCAGAAGGGUGUAGUCACCACGCCCUUGCUAUUCUCAUAAGAUUGGAAGCUCCCAAGGAGCAGAAAGGCAGGCACUUCUGACCUCGUUAAGGAUAACUUUUGGGGGGAACAUUUUCUACCCUCAAUUACCAGACUGCUUAUUAACUCAUUUGAUUUCUCAGUGUCCAUACGGGAUGCCAGCACCACAGACAGCAAUUUUACCCAUUAUGCCACAGUGCCGGCUCCCAGUAUGUUAGUUCUUACAACUGAGAAUGGAGGGCAUAGUGAAGUAGGCAGGCAUACAGGUUAAAAUCAAUUAGGUUUGUGAGCUGGAAGACCACGCCUUUGCCACACCCCUGUGUGACCUCAUGCCCUACCUGGCCACACCUGAGUGCCCACCGGCCAAUCAGGUUAUUAACCACUCCCCUUUGGAAGUGGGUUAAAACCUGGGACACAGUGUGUCCUACCCUUUUCUAUUCUUCCCUGGCUUUCUUGCCAGGAGGGGGCUUGCUGCAGCCCUGUGCCUCCAGGGCAUGUGGCAUUCAGGCCACCUGCCCUAGGCUUCCUGGACUAGAUGCUCCUCCACGUGGCUGGUUCCUGGUGCUCGGGAACGGAAGUCCAUUUAUGUCUGCUGCAGGGUUGAUGUCUUAAUAGACAUGACCAGAAAAGAUCUUCACAUGACACAUUGUAAUCAAAUUCACCACAGUAAAAACAUAAAGAAAAGAUUCUAAAAUGUGCAUGAAAGAAAUGCCAGAUUAUUUUCAGAGGAUCUCCAAUUAGACUCACAUUGGACUUCUCAUUAGAAACCCUAAAGGCUAGGAGAGAAUGGCAAGAUUCGUUCCAAGUCUUAAGAGAAAAAACUAUCAACCCAGAAUACCAUACUCUGCAAAACUCUGAUUUGAGAAUGAAAGUGAAAUAAAGACCUUCCAUAGCAAACA